rnacentral:lncRNA from 1 species
UAUACAAACUAUUGCAUACACUUUUAUAGUGUAAGUUGCUUGAAGUAAUUAAUCUUAAGGCUUGUUGAAAAGUAAGGUUUCUGCUCAUUUACUCCAGGUUUGUCUCACGAGUUGAUGUUGUUUGACCAAAGCAAAAGGAAUACCAUGUCAGUGUGUUUGUACUGCAUUUUCAUUGUGAAUACCUCCCGGAAUAGACAAUUGUUUCACAGCAAUUCACUCUCCUUGGAGGAAGAAGCAACUUAGUGUCACAUCAGCUGAUGAAAUUAAGUUUGUUAUUCCCUGCCCAAAUCUUCCAUCUGGUAGCAAAAGCUCUACAGGGCUGGCAUUUAUCAAGAGAAGACACACAGAACAGCCUUGCAUAAAUAAUGGCACCGGUCCAAGUACAGCUGAGGUGGUUGCCAGCACAACUCCACUGAAGUCAAAGGAAUUGCACCAUGAGACCAUCAGAACUUGAAGAAAUAAGUGCCCAGAAAAACUGAAAAAAAAAAACAACCACACAGUAGCGAUCAAAUGUGAAGGAUCCCAAUGGUGAGUUUUCUUUAAAAGUAUCU